UGAACGCUGGCGGUAUGCCUAACACAUGCAAGUCGUACGAGAGUUUUUAACUCUAGUGGCGGACGGGUGAGUAACACGUGAGAAUUUGCCUUUAGGAGGGGGAUAACAAUUGGAAACAAAUGCUAAUACCCCAUAUGCUUUAGAGUGAAAUGGAUUUAUAUUUAUCCGCCUAGAGAGAAGCUCGCGGCUGAUUAGCUUGUUGGUGAGGUAAGAGCUUACCAAGGCGACGAUCAGUAUCUGGUUUGAGAGGACGAUCAGACACACUGGAACUGAGACACGGUCCAGACUCCUACGGGAGGCAGCAGUGGGGAAUUUUCCGCGAUGGGCGAAAGCCUGACGGAGCAAUACCGCGUGAGGGAAGACUGCCUAUGGGUUGUAAACCCUCUUUUUUCAGGGAGGAAUCAUUGACGUGUACCUGAAGAAUAAGCAUCGGCUAACUCCGUGCCAGCA
rnacentral:rRNA from 1 species